UCAGCGGUAUCAAGGCUCAGCAGUCCCAAUCUCUUCUUAGCACGCACACGCAGCUGGUGUCAGAGGCGGAAUGUGCAGGCGCAAUUUCCGCUAACUGAUGUGCAUACCAUCAGUGAACAGGACACAUCUCCUCCAUGAAUGCUGCUCCAACACUGCCAGAACUGUUAUCUGUCGUAUGUGGACUCCAGAUUUCAGGAAGCGCAUAUGCCAUCCAGGGACACCUUGAAAAAUAAAGACAAAAUGGAGCCCUGUUUAAAAGUUACAUCCAAGUCCUUGUCUCCUUGGGUGAUUGUUAAGAUGUUAAAAGUCAUAUAAAAAGCUAUGCAGUUUCAUGGCAUAGUCAUAAAAUCUCUAGUUGUCAUUCUGACAUGAUAUGGCUUUGUGGUGGCGGGAUAUGAUGAGGGCAGUUGUUGUUACCCUAGGGGCCGAUGGCAUUAACCCCUUGUAUUUGUGACGCCAGGGCAUGGUUUAGCCUAUAACCACCUGAAGGUAUACCGCUGGAGACAGUAGGUAAAGUCUAUACAGUUCAGCCAGGGCCCAAGGAGGUGACCAGUGACUCAGAGACCUUAAGAGCUUGCCGGGACUUUUAGUAGGACUAGUCAAUUUAGUGCAAGCCACGUUGCGUGACACUUUGACAGAGACUGACUUGACUGAUGAUGGACAAUGCUGCAGGUUUAGCUUACUUGCACUUGACUGUGGCUGCAGGAGUUGACGUGAGGCCUCCAAUCCUCUGGACAUACACACUAGGCACAACUGACCUCAUCAAAGACUUGGUGCAAAUGGGAGCAAACGGAGCGGGGGGAACCCCUGGUGUAGUGGCGCCUUGACAGGGGUUUUAGUGGCCCUUCCAUAUAGAAUAAGGGGUAAUUUGGGUUGCAGGAUGGAUGGCAAGGUAAUGGGGGUAUAAGGGGUUAAUUUACCGCUGCCCCUUUAAGGGACGCAGCAGGUGGCUUGA